CACGUAGGCGGUUAUGUAAGUCGGAUGUGAAAGCCCUGGGCUUAACCUGGGAACUGCAUUCGAAACUGCACAGCUAGAGUAUGGGAGAGGGAAGCGGAAUUUCCGGUGUAGCGGUGAAAUGCGUAGAUAUCGGAAGGAACACCAAUGGCGAAGGCAGCUUCCUGGCCUAAUACUGACGCUCAGGUGCGAAAGCGUGGGGAUCAAACA
rnacentral:rRNA from 1 species